AUACUUAUACAAACUACACACAAUCUUACUAUCUGGAUUUAAAAAUAACCUUCCCCAGUAAGAAAUCAUUCUUGUAUACACUGUUGCAUAUAAAGGAAAGCGGCCAGUUUCUCCAUAGACCAUAUAAUUUGGAGUACUACUUUUUAAGUUGAAAAUAUAUUUUUAAAGUGCAUACGCUCAAUAAUGUCAAGAUUUUCGAACCCCCAAAUCUCACAACCAUACAAAAGUACAGGUGCAACAACUUUAUCGAACAAAUCAAGUUGUCAUUCAACUGAUACAUUAUAUUGUCUAAUUUUUCGUAUAACCCCAUACAUGGCUUUUUGGGCUUGCUCACAUAAAUGUUUUUUUGCCUUGUUAAACAAUCCUGAUCUGGAAAAAAAUUAUACCCACAUAUUUGAAUUCUUUCACAUUUUCAAUAACUUUGUUAUUAAAGUAAAAUGUAUUAUUUGGAGGUCGACCUUUGGAAAAAACCAUAAUUUUUGUCUUAUCGACGUUGACAUGUAAUUUCCACUGAAUACAAUAUGAAUGAAACUCAUUCUAAAGACCAUGUUGUAAUCCCACUGCAGACUCUGAUAUAAUCACUGUAUCAUCGGCAUAGAAUAAAAUAAUAGAGAGUCCAAGCAUGUUUUUACUAGAAAGAAAUUCUUUUAAGUCAUUGAUAUAAAGCGAGAACAAAAGAGGAGAUAAAUUUUCACCCUGACGAACCCCAAUCUUACAUUAAAAAAAAUUCAGACGACUGGCCAUUAAUGGAUAUCAUAGACUUAACACCAUCAUACAUGUUUUUUAUAUAUGUAAAACACUUGCCAUCAAUACCGUUUUUUUUUUACAAUUUAUACCACAACCCAUUUCUCCAAACAGUGUCAAAUGCCUGUUUAAAAUCGAUAAAAGCACAAUAAAGUUUCUUUUUGUUAAACAUUACCAUAUUGGUUAGAAAAUGCAACUUUAAUAUAUUGUCAAGAGUGGAAUACCCUUUCCUAAAACCUAUUUGACUUUCACUAAUAAGAUCUAUAUACAUUUAAUGCUGCCCUAGAAACUGACAGGUGAAAAUGCCUGCUAGGGGAUGGAGGUCUUGAAGGUGUGAAGGCAUUUAAGGAGGGAUGGACGUGACAGACAGACACAUGUGAAUACUAUAAAUGCCCAGUGCUUUUGUCAAGAUUUCAAGUUCUCAACAUUUAGGCUACAAAAAGACACGAGAAAAAGUUAGUAUUACUGACCAGUGUAAAGGAUAGAUGUACAGGCCUAAGUGUCAGGACAUCACCAAUGUUCUAGAGAGAAGAAUCCUAUGAAUGGAAUAUUGAGUCAGGUCUACAUUAUAAAAUGGACUGAAAGCUUUUCCAUGCCCAACAUGGAGGUGCAGACAGUAGCUAUUGGUGAAAAAGAAGUGCAAUGACAACCAGUUGUUCAAGGAACUUUGUGCCUGGUUACACAUUCAGAAAACUACCCCUUACCACCCACAAGGGAUGGAAAGGCUAUCAGGAGGACUUUACUUAGAAUACAGAAGAGAUCAAAUAUGGCCUAUGUCAGAUCCCCACCUGUAUAAUGAGGACACUGUGGAGCUGCUCUUGGGCUCGACACAGGGACACGUAUUUCCUGAACCGCCUCUGUAUGACUGUGGCUGCCAUAUGGAGCUUCAUGGCCCGGGCAAACCGUGACAAACCUGGUCUUUCUGUACUCCUGGUGCACCAAGUAUCCUCUAAAGCAAGCUUGGAUGGUGAGAGCAGCUCCUUUUUGGAGAAGGUAGUUAUGACGUGUCUGCCUCAUUUCAAGGUA